UGGCUUUACCUGAAGACGGUGCGCUAACCAGCAAUGGAGGCAGCCGGCCACGGUAGGGUCAGCGACUGGGGUGAAGUCGUAACAAGGUAGCCGUAGGUGAACCUGCAGAAGGAUCA
rnacentral:rRNA from 1 species